GCCUAACACAUGCAAGUCGAGCGGAAACGACACUAACAAUCCUUCGGGUGCGUUAAUGGGCGUCGAGCGGCGGACGGGUGAGUAAUGCCUAGGAAAUUGCCUUGAUGUGGGGGAUAACCAUUGGAAACGAUGGCUAAUACCGCAUAAUGCCUACGGGCCAAAGAGGGGGACCUUCGGGUCUCUCGCGUCAAGAUAUGCCUAGGUGGGAUUAGCUAGUUGGUGAGGUAAUGGCUCACCAAGGCGACGAUCCCUAGCUGGUCUGAGAGGAUGAUCAGCCACACUGGAACUGAGACACGGUCCAGACUCCUACGGGAGGCAGCAGUGGGGAAUAUUGCACAAUGGGCGAAAGCCUGAUGCAGCCAUGCCGCGUGUAUGAAGAAGGCCUUCGGGUUGUAAAGUACUUUCAGUUGUGAGGAAGGGGGUAGCGUUAAUAGCGCUAUNCCUUGACGUUAGCAACAGAAGAAGCACC
rnacentral:rRNA from 1 species